rnacentral:rRNA from 1 species
UACGUAGGAGCAAGCGUUGUCCGGAAUCAUUGGGCGUAAAGCGCGUGUAGGCGGUUACAUAAGUCUGUUGUCGAAAGUCGGAGGCUCAACCUCGAAAGCCGAUGAUACUGUGUGACUUGAGUACGGAAGAGGAGAGUGGAAUUCCUGGUGUAGCGGUGAAAGCGCAGAUAUCAGGAGGAACACCAACGGCGAAGGCAGCUCUCGUGGGACGUACUGACGCGAGACGCGAAGCGUGGGAGCAAACAGG